rnacentral:rRNA from 1 species
GAUGAACGCUGGCGGCGUGCCUAAUACAUGCAAGUCGAGCGAACAGACGAGGAGCUUGCUCCUCUGACGUUAGCGGCGGACGGGUGAGUAACACGUGGAUAACCUACCUAUAAGACUGGGAUAACUUCGGGAAACCGGAGCUAAUACCGGAUAAUAUAUUGAACCGCAUGGUUCAAUAGUGAAAGACGGUUUUGCUGUCACUUAUAGAUGGAUCCGCGCCGCAUUAGCUAGUUGGUAAGGUAACGGCUUACCAAGGCAACGAUGCGUAGCCGACCUGGGAGGGUGAUCAGCCACACUGGAACUGAGACACGGUCCAGACUCCUACGGGAGGCAGCAGUAGGGAAUCUUCCGCAAUGGGCGAAAGCCUGACGGAGCAACGCCGCGUGAGUGAUGAAGGUCUUCGGAUCGUAAAACUCUGUUAUUAGGGAAGAACAAAUGUGUAAGUAACUAUGCACGUCUUGACGGUACCUAAUCAGAAAGCCACGGCUAACUACGUG